GACGAACGCUGGCGGCGUGCCUAAUACAUGCAAGUCGAGCGAGACUCUUCGGAGUCUAGCGGCGGACGGGUGAGUAACACGUGGGCAACCUGCCUGUAAGACUGGGAUAACACCGGGAAACCGGUGCUAAUACCGGAUAAUCCUUUUCCUCUCAUGAGGAAAAACUGAAAGUCGGUUUCGGCUGACACUUACAGAUGGGCCAGCGGCGCAUUAGCUAGUUGGUGAGGUAACGGCUCACCAAGGCGACGAUGCGUAGCCGACCUGAGAGGGUGGUCGGCCACACUGGGACUGAGACACGGCCCAGACUCCUACGAGAGGCAGCAGUAGGGAAUCUUCCACAAUGGACGAAAGUCUGAUGGAGCAACGCCGCGUGAGCGAUGAAGGCCUUCGGGUCGUAAAGCUCUGUUGUUAGGGAAGAACAAGUACCGGAGUAACUGCCGGUACCUUGACGGUACCUAACCAGAAAGCCACGGCUAACUACGUGCCAGCAGCCGCAGUAA
rnacentral:rRNA from 1 species